rnacentral:rRNA from 1 species
GAUGAACGCUGGCGGCGUGCCUAAUACAUGCAAGUCGAGCGAACGGACGAGAAGCUUGCUUCUCUGAUGUUAGCGGCGGACGGGUGAGUAACACGUGGAUAACCUACCUAUAAGACUGGGAUAACUUCGGGAAACCGGAGCUAAUACCGGAUAAUAUUUUGAACCGCAUGGUUCAAAAGUGAAAGACGGUCUUGCUGUCACUUAUAGAUGGAUCCGCGCUGCAUUAGCUAGUUGGUAAGGUAACGGCUUACCAAGGCAACGAUGCAUAGCCGACCUGAGAGGGUGAUCGGCCACACUGGAACUGAGACACGGUCCAGACUCCUACGGGAGGCAGCAGUAGGAAAUCUUCCGCAAUGGGCGAAAGCCUGACGGAGCAACGCCGCGUGAGUGAUGAAGGUCUUCGGAUCGUAAAACUCUGUUAUUAGGGAAGAACAUAUGUGUAAGUAACUGUGCACAUCUUGACGGUACCUAAUCAGAAAGCCACGGCUAACUACGUG